rnacentral:rRNA from 1 species
CAUAUUGUGAGCUCGAUGAGUAGGGCGGGACACGUGGUAUCCUGUCUGAAUAUGGGGGGACCAUCCUCCAAGGCUAAAUACUCCUGACUGACCGAUAGUGAACCAGUACCGUGAGGGAAAGGCGAAAAGAACCCCGGCGAGGGGAGUGAAAAAGAACCUGAAACCGUGUACGUACAAGCAGUGGGAGCCUCUUUAUGGGGUGACUGCGUACCUUUUGUAUAAUGGGUCAGCGACUUAUAUUCUGUAGCAAGGUUAACCGAAUAGGGGAGCCGAAGGGAAACCGAGUCUUAACUGGGCGUUAAGUUGCAGGGUAUAGACCCGAAACCCGGUGAUCUAGCCAUGGGCAGGUUGAAGGUUGGGUAACACUAACUGGAGGACCGAACCGACUAAUGUUGAAAAAUUAGCGGAUGACUUGUGGCUGGGGGUGAAAGGCCAAUCAAACCGGGAGAUAGCUGGUUCUCCCCGAAAGCUAUUUAGGUAGCGCCUCGUGAAUUCAUCUCCGGGGGUAGAGCACUGUUUCGGCAAGGGGGUCAUCCCGACUUACCAACCCGAUGCAAACUGCGAAUACCGGAGAAUGUUAUCACGGGAGACACACGGCGGGUGCUAACGUCCGUCGUGAAGAGGGAAACAACCCAGACCGCCAGCUAAGGUCCCAAAGUCAUGGUUAAGUGGGAAACGAUGUGGGAAGGCCCAGACAGCCAGGAUGUUGGCUUAGAAGCAGCCAUCAUUUAAAGAAAGCGUAAUAGCUCACUGGUCGAGUCGGCCUGCGCGGAAGAUGUAACGGGGCUAAACCAUGCACCGAAGCUGCGGCAGCGACACUAUGUGUUGUUGGGUAGGGGAGCGUUCUGUAAGCCUGUGAAGGUGGCCUGUGAGGGUUGCUGGAGGUAUCAGAAGUGCGAAUGCUGACAUAAGUAACGAUAAAGCGGGUGAAAAGCCCGCUCGCCGGAAGACCAAGGGUUCCUGUCCAACGUUAAUCGGGGCAGGGUGAGUCGACCCCUAAGGCGAGGCCGAAAGGCGUAGUCGAUGGGAAACAGGUUAAUAUUCCUGUACUUGGUGUUACUGCGAAGGGGGGACGGAGAAGGCUAUGUUGGCCGGGCGACGGUUGUCCCGGUUUAAGCGUGUAGGCUGGUUUUCCAGGCAAAUCCGGAAAACCAAGGCUGAGGCGUGAUGACGAGGCACUACGGUGCUGAAGCGACAAAUGCCCUGCUUCCAGGAAAAGCCUCUAAGCAUCAGGUAACAUCAAAUCGUACCCCAAACCGACACAGGUGGUCAGGUAGAGAAUACCAAGGCGCUUGAGAGAACUCGGGUGAAGGAACUAGGCAAAAUGGUGCCGUAACUUCGGGAGAAGGCACGCUGAUAUGUAGGUGAAGCGACUUGCUCGUGGAGCUGAAAUCAGUCGAAGAUACCAGCUGGCUGCAACUGUUUAUUAAAAACACAGCACUGUGCAAACACGAAAGUGGACGUAUACGGUGUGACGCCUGCCCGGUGCCGGAAGGUUAAUUGAUGGGGUUAGCGGUAACGCGAAGCUCUUGAUCGAAGCCCCGGUAAACGGCGGCCGUAACUAUAACGGUCCUAAGGUAGCGAAAUUCCUUGUCGGGUAAGUUCCGACCUGCACGAAUGGCGUAAUGAUGGCCAGGCUGUCUCCACCCGAGACUCAGUGAAAUUGAACUCGCUGUGAAGAUGCAGUGUACCCGCGGCAAGACGGAAAGACCCCGUGAACCUUUACUAUAGCUUGACACUGAACAUUGAGCCUUGAUGUGUAGGAUAGGUGGGAGGCUUUGAAGUGUGGACGCCAGUCUGCAUGGAGCCGACCUUGAAAUACCACCCUUUAAUGUUUGAUGUUCUAACGUUGGCCCGUAAUCCGGGUUGCGGACAGUGUCUGGUGGGUAGUUUGACUGGGGCGGUCUCCUCCUAAAGAGUAACGGAGGAGCACGAAGGUUGGCUAAUCCUGGUCGGACAUCAGGAGGUUAGUGCAAUGGCAUAAGCCAGCUUGACUGCGAGCGUGACGGCGCGAGCAGGUGCGAAAGCAGGUCAUAGUGAUCCGGUGGUUCUGAAUGGAAGGGCCAUCGCUCAACGGAUAAAAGGUACUCCGGGGAUAACAGGCUGAUACCGCCCAAGAGUUCAUAUCGACGGCGGUGUUUGGCACCUCGAUGUCGGCUCAUCACAUCCUGGGGCUGAAGUAGGUCCCAAGGGUAUGGCUGUUCGCCAUUUAAAGUGGUACGCGAGCUGGGUUUAGAACGUCGUGAGACAGUUCGGUCCCUAUCUGCCGUGGGCGCUGGAGAACUGAGGGGGGCUGCUCCUAGUACGAGAGGACCGGAGUGGACGCAUCACUGGUGUUCGGGUUGUCAUGCCAAUGGCACUGCCCGGUAGCUAAAUGCGGAAGAGAUAAGUGCUGAAAGCAUCUAAGCACGAAACUUGCCCCGAGAUGAGUUCUCCCUGAGACUUAGAGUCUCCUGAAGGAACGUUGAAGACGACGACGUUGAUAGGCCGGGUGUGUAAGCGCAGCGAUGCGUUGAGCUAACCGGUACUAAUGAACCGUGAG